rnacentral:rRNA from 1 species
UCGUAAGUUUCGGGACCAUCAUGGUUGGUCGUGCCUCGGUACGUACUGGCAUCGGUUGGUUUCUCCCCUUCUGAACAACCAUGAUGCUAUUUAUUUGGUGNUGGUGGGGGAAUCAGGACUGUUUACUUUAGAAAAAUUAGAGUAGUUAAAGCAGGCUCACGCUUGAAUACAUUAGCAUGGAAUAAUAAAAUAGGUACGUUUGAUUCUAUUUUGUUGGUUUCUAGGAUCGACGUAAUGAUUAAUAGGGAUAGUUGGGGGCAUUAGUAUUCAAUUGUCAGAGGUGAAAUUCUUGGAUUUAUUGAAGACUAACUACUGCGAAAGCAUUUGCCAAGGAUUGUUUCAUUAAUCAAGAACGAAAGUUAGGGGAUCGAAGACGAUCAGAUACCGUCGUAGUCUUAACCAUAAACUAUGCCGACUAGGGAUCGGAUGAUGUUAAUUUUUAAUGACUC